UUUUUUGAGGGUUUGAUCCUGGCCCAGGAUGAACGCUAGCGGCGUGCUUUAAGCAUGCAAGUGGGACGGUCCGUAGGACCGAACAUGUCAGCUUGUAACUAGUAACCAGUAACGGUUAAACUUUAAACAUAUGAAGAAAACUUUUCGGUUUUUAGAGUUUAAGGUUUAUAAAGACGCAAAAUUGUUUUAUCAAAAGGUUGUAAUUAUUACUAAAGAUUUUACAAAACAAUACUGGGAGCUUGGAGAUCAACUAAGAAGAAGUGCUUUGUCUGUCGUAUUAAAUAUUGCAGAAGGAGCAGGAAAAGAUUCCGACAAGGAAUUCAACCGUUAUCUCAAUAAUUCACUUGGCUCAAUAAAUGAAUCAGCAGCAGCUGUUGAUGUGGCUUAUGAUGAAAAACUCAUUAGUCCGAGCGAAAAAGUGAAAUUGUUGGAUUCAGCAAAACAAAUUGCUGAUCAACUAGGUGGAUUUUCUAAGAAACUUAGAAUGCGUUAAUUGUUACUUGUUUUUUGUUAAUUGUUGGUUUGUUCUGUCCUGCGGACAGUCGCGAACGGCUGAGUAAUACGUAAGUACUUACACCAUGGUGUGGAAUACCUCCGCGAAAGCGGGGCUAAUACCGCAUGACCUCAUGCGUAGCAUGAAGAAUUUCUAAUUGACCUAAUUAACCUAAUAACUAAUCAACAACCAAACACCAAUGAAAGCAGUAUUUUAAUUUUUGUUCAUUGGGAAUUUAAGAAUUGGGGUUUGAUUAGAAAUUAGAAAUUAGAAAUUAGGUAUUUUUCCUGCUAUGCAGGAGAAAAGGACUUAACUGUCCGCCGAGGGAAAGGCUUGCGGCCCAUCAGCUAGUUGGUAGGGUAAUGGCUUACCAAGGCUACGACGGGUAGGGGAUGUGAGAGCAUGUUCCCCCAGAAUGGGACUGAGACACGGCCCAUACACCUACGGGUGGCAGCAACUGGGAAUCGUACGCAAUGGACGAAAGUCUGACGUCGCGACGCCGCGUGAGGGAUGAAGGCGGCUAACUCCGUGCCAGCAGCAGCGGUAAUACGGAGGGUGCAAGCGUUAUCCGGAUUUAUUGGGCGUAAAGCGUUUCGUAGGCGAUGAAAUAAGUCACUUUUCAAAGACCACGGCUUAACCGGGGGAAGGGGAGUGAUACUAUUUUAUUUGAAUCAUUUAGGGGCUACCGGAACUAUCGGUGUAGGGGUGAAAUCCGUUGAUAUCGAUAGGAACACCAAGGGCGAAGGCAGGUAGCUGGGAGUUGAUUGACGCUGAGGAACGAAAGCUAGGGGAGCGAAAGGGAUUAGAGACCCCUGUAGUCCUAGCCGUAAACUAUGCUCGCUAGCCCUCUGUCCGAGUUUACUCGGUGGGGAGCGUAAGCUAACGCGUUAAGCGAGCCGCCUGGGGAGUACGAACGCAAGUUUAAAACUCAAAGGAAUUGACGGGGACCCGCACAACCAGUGGAGCAUGUG
rnacentral:ncRNA from 1 species